AUUGAACGCUGGCGGAAUGCUUUACACAUGCAAGUCGAACGGCAGCACGGGGGCAGCCCUGGUGGCGAGUGGCGAACGGGUGAGUAAUACAUCGGAACGUGCCCGGUCGUGGGGGAUAACGUAGCGAAAGUUACGCUAAUACCGCAUACGAUCUGAGGAUGAAAGCGGGGGACCUUCGGGCCUCGCGCGAUCGGAGCGGCCGAUGUCAGAUUAGGUAGUUGGUGGGGUAAAGGCCUACCAAGCCGACGAUCUGUAGCUGGUCUGAGAGGACGAACAGCCACACUGGGACUGAGACACGGCCCAGACUCCUACGGGAGGCAGCAGUGGGGAAUUUUGGACAAUGGGCGCAAGCCUGAUCCAGCCAUUCCGCGUGCAGGACGAAGGCCUUCGGGUUGUAAACUGCUUUUGUACGGAACGAAAAGGCUCUGGCUAAUACCUGGGGCUCAUGACGGUACCGUAAGAAUAAGCACCGGCUAACUACGUG
rnacentral:rRNA from 1 species